rnacentral:lncRNA from 12 species
UAACCCCAAAUCACCCCCAAAUCCCCUCCAGGUGAUCUCAGGUGUGCUCAGGUGACCCCGAACCCACCUCCAGGUGCCUCCAGGUGACUCCAGGUGAUCUCAGGUGUGCUCAGGUAGCCCCAAAACGCCCUCAAAUCCCCCCCAAACCGCCCCCAGGUGAUCCCAGGUGUGCUCAGGUGCGCCCAUGUGACCCCGGACCCACCUCCAGGUGCCUCCAGGUGAUCUCAGGUGCGCACAGGUGACCCCAAAACCCCCUAAACCCCCCUCAGGUGAGCACAGGUAACCCCAAAUCCCCCCGAAACCGCCCCCAGGUGAUCCCAGGUGUGCUCAGGUGUGCCCAGGUGACCCCGAACCCACCUCUAGGUGCCUCCAGGUGAUCUCAGGUGCGCUCAGGUGACCCCAAACCCACCAAAAUCCCCCUCAGGUGCGCUCAGGUGAGCACAGGUGGCCCCAAAACGCCCUCAAAUCCCCCCCAAAUCCCCUCCAGGUGCUCCCAGGUGCUCCCAGGUGUGCUCAGGUGCGCUCACCUCCGAUGGCCAGGUAGCGGAAGAAGAGCCAGCCCGAGAUGAGCGGCUCCUUGGGGCUGCGCGGGGGCUUGUCCAUGAUGUCCAGGUGUGCCCAGGUGUGCCCAGGUGUGCCCAAACCCCCCCAAACCCCCCUCAGGUGUGCCCAGGUGACCCCGGACCCACCUCCAGGUGCCUCCAGGUGAUCUCAGGUGAGCACAGGUAACCCCAAAACGCCCCCAACCCCCCCCCCCCCCCCCCCCCCCCCCCCCCCCCCCCCCCCCCCCCCCCCCCCCCCCCCCCCCCCCC